CCUACGGGCGGCUGCAGUGAGGAAUAUUGGUCAAUGGGCGGAAGCCUGAACCAGCCAUGCCGCGUGCAGGAAGACGGCCCUACGGGUUGUAAACUGCUUUUCCGGGGUAAGAAUAAGGCCGACGUGUCGGCCGAUGCCGGUACCCCGGGAAUAAGGAUCGGCUAACUCCGUGCCAGCAGCCGCGGUAAUACGGAGGAUCCGGGAGUUAUCCGGAUUUACUGGGGUUAAGGGGUGCGUUGACGGGCGCUUAGAAAUACGGGGGCUCAACCUUCGAACGGCCGUUGAUACUGGGCGCCUUGGAUGCGGUCGAGGCGGGCGGAAUGCGACAUGUAGCGGUGAAAUGCUUAGAUAUGUCGCAGAACGCCGAUUGCGAAGGCAGCUCGCCAGGCCGACAUUGACGCUGAGGCACGAAAGCGUGGGGAUCGAACAGGAUUAGAUACCCGUGUAGUC
rnacentral:rRNA from 1 species